rnacentral:tRNA from 1 species
ACCUGGGUGGCUCAGUCAGUUGAGCAUCUGACUUCAGCUCAGGUCAUUAUCUCCCAGUCUGUGAGUUCGAGCCCCGCAUCAGGCU